CUGAUUUGUUAGGGGCCUGUUGCUGGUUUACUCCAAAAAUAACGACAAAUGCAUCACCAACACUGAUAUGGAGGAAAGGAAAUCCACCAAACUUCACUGUCACACUGAGGAAUGAAACAACAAGUCAACACCUACAGGAACAGGCAGGACCUGGUGGAUUUUGGCUCGGUCAGCGUCCACCUCCAGAUGUACCCAGUCAGGGUGGAAGGGACCUUUGAAUCCCACAAAUGCCAAUUUAUCUGCAGGGAGACCAGAUAACAUGAGCUUCUCCAGGACUUUGGUCCAAGAUCCUCUGGGGAAAAGACGGCCCUUUGAUGUCAUCAGAACAAUGGAGCUGGAGAAGAACAAGAAAGAGCGAGACAACACGGCCCACAGUCAAUAUUUAUUUAGCUGAGUGUUUG